CCUACGGGUGGCAGCAGUGGGGAAUAUUGGACAAUGGGGGGAACCCUGAUCCAGCCAUGCCGCGUGUGUGAAGAAGGCUCUCGGGUUGUAAAGCACUUUCAGUAAGGAAGAACUCCUGGUGGUUAAUACCCAUCAGGAAAGACAUCACUCACAGAAGAAGCACCGGCUAACUCCGUGCCAGCAGCCGCGGUAAUACGGAGGGUGCGAGCGUUAAUCGGAAUUACUGGGCGUAAAGCGCGCGUAGGUGGCUUGAUAAGCCGGUUGUGAAAGCCCCGGGCUCAACCUGGGAACGGCAUCCGGAACUGUCAAGCUAGAGUGCAGGAGAGGAAGGUAGAAUUCCCGGUGUAGCGGUGAAAUGCGUAGAGAUCGGGAAGAAUACCCGUGGCGAAGGCGGCCUUCUGGACUGACAAUGACACUGAGGUGCGAAAGCGUGGGUAGCAAACAGGAUUAGAUACACUAGUAGUC
rnacentral:rRNA from 1 species